rnacentral:rRNA from 1 species
UACGAAGGGGCUAGCGUUGUUCGGAAUUACUGGGCGUAAAGGGCUCGUAGGUGGCCAAUUAAGUCAGACGUGAAAUCCCAGGCUUAACCUGGGAACUGCGUCUGAUACUGGUUGGCUUGAAUUCGGGAGAGGGAUGCAGAAUUCCAGGUGUAGCGGUGAAAUGCGUAGAUAUCUGGAGGAAUACCGGUGGCGAAGGCGGCAUCCGUGGACCGAGAUUGACACUGAGGAGCGAAAGCCAGGG